GAGCCAUGGAGUCCGACAACUAUUAGCAUGCCAGCUAUGAUCGAAGGAUCACUGGAGUAUAGCUUCAGUUCGCGGUGCAGGUCCAGAUGAAAAAAGUUGUGGUUAGUCGGCUUAUCCUCAAUUAACUAAGGAUCAGUUGAUCCGAAAUGAAGUGAAAGUACGACCAUGCUCCACCUCAACUACCGUGCUUCAAACUCGAUGAGAUGCUCCAUAGAACGGC
rnacentral:lncRNA from 1 species